UGUAUGGGUGUAGUCUACAGCCUGGGUGAACAAACCUGUUGGUGAAGGGAUUUGCAUUUACCUGGGAGAAAGAUCUCAGCACUUAAGAGAGAUCAGAUUAAUUUCAGCUGGUUAUUUACACGUGAAAUAAGGUACUCAAGCAAAAGCAAGGGAGAGCCAGCGGAGUGUAAUGGAUAAAAGGAUGGACUUUGGAUCCAGACUGCCUCACCAGCUGUGUGCCUACGGUUUCGGCAAGAGUCCUAAAGCUGGAGCUGGCUCAUUUCCUUGAAUCGCACGAAGGAAUAAGGUCUAGAAACUUGCCGGCUGGGCCUUGAGAAGCUGUCUUGUGUGGAUACACUCUUGGUUCCCCGUCUUCUUUUUUUUUUUUUGGUGGGG